GUGGAGCUGAGACCAGUCGAAGAUACCAGCUGGCUGCAACUGUUUAUUAAAAACACAGCACUGUGCAAACACGAAAGUGGACGUAUACGGUGUGACGCCUGCCCGGUGCCGGAAGGUUAAUUGAUGGGGUUAUCCGUAAGGAGAAGCUCUUGAUCGAAGCCCCGGUAAACGGCGGCCGUAACUAUAACGGUCCUAAGGUAGCGAAAUUCCUUGUCGGGUAAGUUCCGACCUGCACGAAUGGCGUAAUGAUGGCCAGGCUGUCUCCACCCGAGACUCAGUGAAAUUGAACUCGCUGUGAAGAUGCAGUGUACCCGCGGCAAGACGGAAAGACCCCGUGAACCUUUACUAUAGCUUGACACUGAACAUUGAGCCUUGAUGUGUAGGAUAGGUGGGAGGCUUUGAAGCGUGGACGCCAGUCUGCGUGGAGCCAACCUUGAAAUACCACCCUUUAAUGUUUGAUGUUCUAACGUUGGCCCCUUACCGGGGUUGCGGACAGUGUCUGGUGGGUAGUUUGACUGGGGCGGUCUCCUCCCAAAGCGUAACGGAGGAGCACGAAGGUUAGCUAAUCCUGGUCGGACAUCAGGAGGUUAGUGCAAUGGCAUAAGCUAGCUUGACUGCGAGCGUGACGGCGCGAGCAGGUGCGAAAGCAGGUCAUAGUGAUCCGGUGGUUCUGAAUGGAAGGGCCAUCGCUCAACGGAUAAAAGGUACUCCGGGGAUAACAGGCUGAUACCGCCCAAGAGUUCAUAUCGACGGCGGUGUUUGGCACCUCGAUGUCGGCUCAUCACAUCCUGGGGCUGAAGUAGGUCCCAAGGGUAUGGCUGUUCGCCAUUUAAAGUGGUACGCGAGCUGGGUUUAGAACGUCGUGAGACAGUUCGGUCCCUAUCUGCCGUGGGCGCUGGAGAAUUGAGGGGGGCUGCUCCUAGUACGAGAGGACCGGAGUGGACGCAUCACUGGUGUUCGGGUUGUCAUGCCAAUGGCACUGCCCGGUAGCUAAAUGCGGAAGAGAUAAGUGCUGAAAGCAUCUAAGCACGAAACUUGCCCCGAGAUGAGUUCUCCCUGAGACUUUAAGUCUCCUGAAGGAACGUUGAAGACGACGACGUUGAUAGGCCGGGUGUGUAAGCGCAGCGAUGCGUUGAGCUAACCGGUACUAAUGAACCGUGAGGCUUAACCUUACAACGCCGAAG
rnacentral:rRNA from 1 species